UACAGAGGGUGCAAGCGUUGUUCGGAAUUACUGGGCGUAAAGCGCGUGUAGGCGGUCAAGCAAGUCAGAUGUGAAAGCCCUCAGCUUAACUGGGGAAGUGCAUCCGAAACUACUUGUCUGGAGUGCCGGAGAGGUAAGGGGAAUUCCCGGUGUAGAGGUGAAAUUCGUAGAUAUCGGGAGGAACACCGGCGGCGAAGGCGCCUUACUGGACGGCAACUGACGCUGAGACGCGAAAGCGUGGGGAGCAAACAGG
rnacentral:rRNA from 1 species